GGUUCUGAUAGCCAGUUUUCCUCCAGACCCUCCUGGGACCCAGGGGGCAUAUUGCACAGUGACUGAGAACUCUUGUCCUAGAAAAUACGGUAGCUCUAUGACCCGACCAGAAGGGAAGAAAAGAUAACAUAGUAUUGUUUAAGUCCAGGCAUGAAUGCCCCUGAGUAAUAGAGGAGCCAGGGAUGCAGGUGUCUGGCUGGGGGAGACAGAGAGCUCUGAACUUGGCCUCUCUUCCUCCCCCAGGGCAAAUCCCGACCUCUCUGUUCACAGUUGCUAACCUUGCUUGCUCCCUCUCACAUCUUCCUGGGGUGCUAGCCAAACGUCUCCCACUUCUCCUUGGCUAGGUCUACCCCCUAACAGCUCCCCCUCCUAUAGGCAGACACUGGCUCACAGACUCAAGCACGCAACAGUUCUCUCCAAAGGCACCUGGGGAGGCCACUUCCAAGCAG
rnacentral:lncRNA from 1 species